AGGCGUGGCCUAAUACAUGCAAGUAGAACGCUGAAGAGAGGAGCUUGCUCUUCUUGGAUGAGUUGCGAACGGGUGAGUAACGCGUAGGUAACCUGCCUUGUAGCGGGGGAUAACUAUUGGAAACGAUAGCUAAUACCGCAUAACAAUGGAUGACACAUGUCAUUUAUUUGAAAGGGGCAAUUGCUCCACUACAAGAUGGACCUGCGUUGUAUUAGCUAGUAGGUGAGGUAAUGGCUCACCUAGGCGACGAUACAUAGCCGACCUGAGAGGGUGAUCGGCCACACUGGGACUGAGACACGGCCCAGACUCCUACGGGAGGCAGCAGUAGGGAAUCUUCGGCAAUGGGGGCAACCCUGACCGAGCAACGCCGCGUGAGUGAAGAAGGUUUUCGGAUCGUAAAGCUCUGUUGUAAGUCAAGAACGGGUGUGAGAGUGGAAAGUUCACACUGUGACGGUAGCUUACCAGAAAGGGACGGCUAACUACGUGCCAGCAGCCGCGGUAAUACGUAGGUCCCGAGCGUUGUCCGGAUUUAUUGGGCGUAAAGCGAGCGCAGGCGGUUUGAUAAGUCUGAAGUUAAAGGCUGUGGCUCAACCAUAGUUCGCUUUGGAAACUGUCAAACUUGAGUGCAGAAGGGGAGAGUGGAAUUCCAUGUGUANGCGGUGAAAUGCGUAGAUAUAUGGAGGAACCACCCGGUGGCGAAACGCGGCUCUCUGGUCUGUAANCUGACCGCUGAGGCUCGAAAGCGUGGGGAGCGAACAGGAUUAGAUACCCUGGUAGUCCACGCCGUAAACGAUGAGUGCUAGGUGUUGGAUCCUUUCCGGGAUUCAGUGCCGAAGCUAACGCAUUAAGCACUCCGCCUGGGGAGUACGACCGCAAGGUUGAAAACUCAAAGGAAUUGACGGGGGCCCGCACAAGCGGUGGAGCAUGUAGUUUAAU
rnacentral:rRNA from 1 species